rnacentral:rRNA from 1 species
UACGUAGGGGGGCAAGCGUUGUCCGGAAUCAUUGGGCGUAAAGCGCGUGUAGGCGGCUCGGUAAGUCCGCUCUGAAAGUCCGGGGCUCAACCCCGGGAGGCGGGUGGAUACUGUCGAGCUCGAGUCCGGAAGAGGCGAGUGGAAUUCCUGGUGUAGCGGUGAAAUGCGCAGAUAUCAGGAGGAACACCGGUGGCGAAGGCGGGGUCUCUGGGCCGAUACUGACGCUGAGGAGCGAAAGCGUGGGGAGCGAACAGG